UGGGCAACCUGCCCCUGGCUCUGGGAUAACUCCAAGAAAUUGGGGCUAAUACCGGAUACGAACUUCAGCCGCAUGGCUAGGAGUUGGAAACGAAUUUUCGGUCUGGGAUGGACUCGCGGCCUAUCAGCUAGUUGGUGGGUAACGGCCCACCAAGGCGACGACGGGUUAGCCGGCCUGAGAGGGCGACCGGCCACACUGGGACUGAGACACGGCCCAGACUCCUGCGGGA
rnacentral:rRNA from 1 species